AUUUUUUGUCUAUUGGGCCGCCCAAUUCCAUUAGAGUCCAGUCCAAUAAAGCCCAUAUCCAUUAUAGUCCAGUCCAUUACUGGCCAUGUCAAAGUGGGCUUGUCCAUGACCGGUCCAUUAGGUGUUGGACACGGACAGCCCAUGGGCGGCCCGCCCAUUUUGACAGCUCUACAGCCCACUGUUGUGACCAAUGAUUUCGUCGCCACUUCCAACAACGUUGAAUUAGAUGAGGCAAAUAGUAAAUCAGCUGUAAGUUUAUUUUGUUGUUCAAGAACAAUUCUUUAUAAAACUUUGUCUGUUUCCCAUAUUUUGUAUGAAAUAUUUUGCUAAUGAAUCUUAUAUGUGAUUGUCUUUUUUCAGUCUUGGAUAGUAGAGUAGAAGCCAUGGUCUCAAGAUGGGCUGCCUGUUAAAAGAGUAUUGGAUGUAUUGGAGAGUAUGCCGGAACACUUAACUCUGAUAUUCGUCGCAAGGACUUCGAGAUACCUCAGCUCGAUGAUUCCUAGAAGCUUUGUUUCUGUUGUUUCAGACUUUUUUAUUUAGGUUAUAUCAGACUUUUUAUGUGUGUUGUUUCAGACUUUUGCUUUUUUGGAUGCUUUGGUUAUGUUGGUUGUUUUAGCUCGAUGACAUUUUUUAUGUCCCAGACUUUUAAGUUACUUGUUGCAGACUUUUAUGUAGGUUGUCGCAGACUUUUAUAUAGGUUAUCGCAGACUUUUAAGUAGGUUGUCGCAGACUUUUAUAUAUGUUGUAGCAGUCUUUUAUAUUACUUAUAUCAGACUUUUACAUAGGUUGCCUCAGA
rnacentral:lncRNA from 1 species